CAGUAGCCGCGGUAAAACGUAGGUGGCAAGCGUUGUCCGGAAUCAUUGGGCGUAAAGGGCUCGCAGGCGGUUUCUUAAGUCUGAUGUGAAAGCCCCCGGCUCAACCGGGGAGGGUCAUUGGAAACUGGGAAACUUGAGUGCAGAAGAGGAGAGUGGAAUUCCACGUGUAGCGGUGAAAUGCGUAGAGAUGCGGAGGAACACCAGUGGCGAAGGCGACUCUCUGGUCUGUAACUGACGCUGAGGAGCGAAAGCGUGGGGAGCGAGCAGGAUUAGAUACCCGUGUAGUCCCUGUCUCUUAUAA
rnacentral:rRNA from 1 species